AACAGCGCAGGGUCCUGUGUUGCUCCUCCACGAAGAGGGGGAGCGACACAACACCACUUCUAAGACACAAAAGAACUUCAAGCUUUGCUUCUCAGGUGGUCACACAGUGUCUUCGUUUUCCUUUUCAAGGAGUUGGAGCAUUCUGUACCCAAGAAUACACCUACACAGGCUUCCGAGGAGCAAAGGAAUCUGCAGGAAGACACAGGAAUGGGGAUCAGUGAGGAGGACAAGGACGCGGCAGCUGGUGCAAGGGGUGUGUGCAGAACUCGGAAGUUUUCUGUGACCCUCGAAGGUGACCCUAGGCUGUGA